UACGUAGGUGGCAAGCGUUGUCCGGAUUUACUGGGUGUAAAGGGCGUGUAGGCGGGAAGACAGGUCAGAUGUGAAAUGUCGGGGCUCAACCCAUGAACUGCUUUCAAAACUGUUUUUCUUGAGUAGUGCAGAGGUAGGCGGAAUUCCCGGUGUAGCGGUGGAAUGCGUAGAUAUCGGGAGGAACACCAGUGGCGAAGGCGGCCUACUGGGCACCAACUGACGCUGAGGCUCGAAAGUGUGGGUAGCAAACAGG
rnacentral:rRNA from 1 species